UACGUAGGGUGCUAGCGUUGUCCGGAUUUAUUGGGCGUAAAGGGCGCGUAGGCGGCCAUCUAAGUCAGACGUGAAAUCCCCCGGCUUAACCUGGGAACUGCGUCUGAUACUGGACGGCUUGAGUAUGGGAGAGGGAUGUAGAAUUCCAGGUGUAGCGGUGAAAUGCGUAGAUAUCUGGAAGAACACCCGUGGCGAAGGCGGCUCUCUAGUACGGUACUGACGCUGAGACGCGAAAGCGUGGGGAGCGAACAGG
rnacentral:rRNA from 1 species